GCCUAGCCCUAAACAUUGAUAGAGCAAUACACCCCCUAUCCGCCCGGUUACUACGAGCGUCAGCUUAAAACCCAAAGGACUUGGCGGUGCUUUAGAUCCUACUAGAGGAGCCUGUUCUAGAACCGAUAAUCCCCGUUCAACCUCACCUUUCCUUGUUCUUUCCCGCCUAUAUACCGCCGUCGUCAGCCCACCCUCUGAAGGUCUAACAGUAGGCAAAAUUGGCACAGCCCAAAACGUCAGGUCGAGGUGUAGCGUAUGGAAAGGGAAGAAAUGGGCUACAUUCCCUAUUAUAGGGCAUAACGAAUGAUGCGCUGAAACGCACAUCUUGAAGGAGGAUUUAGCAGUAAGCAUGGAAGUAGAGUGUCCCGCUGAAACUGGCUAUGAAGCGCGC
rnacentral:rRNA from 1 species